GGGGACGUAGCUCAGAUGGUAGAGUGCUCACUUAGUAUGCGAGAUGUACGGGGAUCGAUACCCCGCGCCUCCA